AGCGACUCGCUCCAAGGGUUCGUCUGAUUGCCUUCUUUUGCGGGGAGAAUUGAUUGGCAGGCCUGUUAGCCAAUUAGCGGGCUGCACUGUACCAUUUCCUUCCCCCUUUGCUUGCUUGCAAAGAAGGAGAAAAUGCCUUUGCAUGCAAGACAAGUCGCUGGUGCCUGAGAAACAUCUGCGUGUAGGAUUUGCGACCCAGCGGGCUCGCCGUGAAGAUGGCUUUGUUAAAGCUGUUGCCGCAGGUUCCCGAAGAUGAAGGCACCCAAAGGUGCAGGUUGGGGCCUGCUGUAUUCUCUGCCCUGGGUGCCACACUGGGCUCCCCAGUGAAGUUCACCCUCCCUACUGGCAGCUGUCUCUGUACCGCCUGGCCGAGGCACGAUUUGGCCGACGGCUAUUUGCAGGUUGAUCUCAAGUGCAGAACUUUGGGCUUAAAGGAGUGCCAGCCCCAAAAUCUCACCGUGAGCAUGGACCAAUUGAAGCUCCUGCCUUCUUGCAAGCUCAGGAGAGUGACAGUCAAAGUCAUCUUUAAGAACCGUGCCUUGAAAAAAUCCACUCCGAAAACCAUGGUGCAGGACAUGGUCAAGGAACUUCUGAGAAAGGUCUACGUUUCUCCCCAUCACGUCGUUACCUUUGCGCCAAUUCUGGGCAAUCCGUUGGCAUGUGUUGAAAUAUUGUCCAUGGAGCCUGCCACCGCAGAAGAAGCCGGUUUGGUCACCCUCAAAACUGGUGUAACUGUCAAAGAGGCAGUCUCACUAGAUUGGCACAACCAUUCGACGGAGGACGGUGCCAAAAUCCUGGUGGCGGGCGUGAACGACGCGAGCACCUCCUUAAAAGAGAUGAUCGACUUGCCCUUGCGCUUUCCCAAAACCUUCCAGAAGCUGGGCCUUUCUGUCCCUAGAGGAGUGCUUUUGGUGGGGCCUCCAGGAGUGGGCAAAACACUUCUGGUGAAAUCGGUUGCCAGGGGAAUUGGUGCCAGCCGCCUUUGCAUCGACGGCCCUAUAAUCUACGGUUCGAGGCCCGGCGAAAGCGAGGAGAACUUGCGGCGAGUUUUUGAACAAGCAAGAGAAUUGUCCAGCGAAGGACCUGUUGUUCUUUUUAUUGACGAGAUCGACUCGUUGUGUCCUAAACGGGGAAGUUCAAGUAAUGCCCCAGAAAAUCGUCUGGUGGCUCAAUUGCUAACUCUUCUAGAUGGCAUCGGGGGAGAAAAUGGCAUAGUGAUCGUGGCGGCGACAAAUCGACCCGAUGCCCUGGACCCUGCACUUAGGAGGCCAGGCAGACUGGACCGAGAGGUUAUUAUCGGGACGCCGACUGUGAAGCAACGGAGGUCUAUUCUACAGCUGAUUACCGCUGGCAUGCCUGUGUCGAUUGAUGUUAAUUUGCUUGAACUUGCAGAAAUAACCCCUGGUUAUGUUGGAGCUGACCUUACAGCGCUCUGCAGAGAGGCUGCAAUGCAGGCUGUGUUUCGUGCCUCUUCGGAUUCAGUUGACACAGUGCACAUGUCGGACUUCCAUGAAGCAUUGAAAAAGAUUCGGCCAUCCUCUGCUCGAAGUGGAGUUGGGCUUGCAGACUUCAGACCCGUUGCCUGGGAUCAGAUUGGUGGCCUUGAAGAUGUGAAACUCAAGUUAAAACAGAGCAUUGAAUGGCCUAUAAAAUUCCCAGAGGCUUUUGUGAGAAUGGGGCUUGCCCGCCCAAAGGGCAUCCUUUUGUAUGGACCAUCAGGUUGUGCCAAAACUACGCUUGUAAAAGCAGCAGCCACAAGCUGUCACUGUUCCUUUCUGUCUGUGAGCGGCGCCGACCUUUUCUCGCCUUACGUUGGAGAUUCGGAGAAGAUUUUGUCUCAGGUAUUUCGUCAAGCAAGAGCCAAUGCGCCUGCAAUUGUGUUCCUUGAUGAGAUCGACUCUAUCCUGGGAUCUCGGUCAGUCAGUAAAACAGGGCAUGGCGUCCAGGAGAGAGUUCUUUCUGUCCUCCUUAAUGAAUUGGAUGGCGUUGGGCUGAAGUUUACGGAGAGGAGAGGAAAUAAAGCCGAGCUGGAAAACGACAGUCGAGAACAAACAGAAAAUGAUAGAGAGCUGGAAUUUCAGGAGGUUUUUAACAAAGAUGUUGUUGUCGUCGCUGCAACCAACAGACCAGACAUGCUGGACGAUGCCUUGUUGCGUCCUGGACGGUUUGACAAGAUCAUCUAUAUUGCACCUCCAGAUCGGAAGGGAAAGCUUUCUAUUUUGAAAAUCUGCACUGAAAAAAUUCCCGUUGAUCCCGAUGUUUCUCUAGAGGAUAUAGCAGCUCGUGCUAAUCUGUUCUCUGGAGCUGACCUUGAAAAUCUUUGCAAGGAGGCUGCUUUAUUGGCAUUGCAAGAGAACAAAGUUGAAGCAACACCUGUGAAGCAGAAACACUUUGAAAAAUCCUUGGAGAUCGUCAAACCGUCGCUAACCAACGAAGAGCUGGAAUUUUAUGAAAAAAUGUUUAGAAAUCGGGAAUGAUUCUUGUGAAAACAGUAGGGGCUUAUUAUCCACAUUGACAUAAGCAACAACUCUUGGCAAUGAAUUCAACACAUCUGUAAAGAGAACAGAGGGGAUGUGGUUGUUUAUUCAUUUAUUUAGAGUGUAAAUUUCUCCAUCGCCUCUUCAGACUUUUUCAAGGCAGCUCAUAUACACAGAGGUUUCUCUUGGGAUUACAGUGAAAUUUAGAUCCUAUGGAUGGAAGAGCCUGCCAGAGAAGACUGGCUGAUAAAGAUGAUGGACUAUGCCGAAAUGGCGAAAAUGACCGGGAGAAUUAGAAAUCAAGAAGACAAAAGCUUUAAUACAGAGUGGGGAAAAUUUAUAAGCUACUUAGGAGAACACUGCAAAGAAUUAAAAACCUUGGCAGGAUUGGAAAAACACUUGUGAUUUAGUAAGAACUAGAGUAUAAUGAAGAUUUUAAGGGAAAAUGGAGGAUAAUAUGAGAUUCAGGGCAAAACGGAUUAAUAAUGGAACCCAUGGAGGGAAGUCCAAGAUUUCAGGGAAUCCUAUAUACUUAAC